rnacentral:rRNA from 1 species
CAGUCGCCGCGGUAAUACAGAGGAUGCAAGCGUUAUCCGGAAUGAUUGGGCGUAAAGCGUCUGUAGGUGGCUUUUCAAGUCCGCCGUCAAAUCCCAGGGCUCAACCCUGGACAGGCGGUGGAAACUACCAAGCUGGAGUAUGGUAGGGGCAGAGGGAAUUUCCGGUGGAGCGGUGAAAUGCGUUGAGAUCGGAAAAAACACCAACGACGAAAGCACUCUGCUGGGCCGACACUGACACUUAGAGACGAAAGCUAGGGGAGCAAAUGGGAUUAGAUACCCGCGUAGUCCCUGUCUCUUAUAC